CCUGGCAGCUCAGACAGUAAAGAACCUGCCUGCAAUGCAGGAGACCUGGGUUCAAUCCCUGGGUCAGGA
rnacentral:tRNA from 1 species